UACGUAGGUGGCAAGCGUUGUCCGGAUUUAUUGGGUUUAAAGGGUGCGUAGGCGGUCUUAUAAGUCAGUGCUGAAAUAUCCCGGCUUAACCGGGAGGGUGGCAUUGAUACUGUAGGACUUGAGUGAAGUCGAGGUAGGCGGAAUUGACGGUGUAGCGGUGAAAUGCUUAGAUAUCGUCAAGAACACCAAUAGUGAAGACAGUUUACUAGACUUCAACUGACGCUGAGGCACGAAAGUGUGGGGAUCAAACAGG
rnacentral:rRNA from 1 species